rnacentral:rRNA from 1 species
GACGAACGCUGGCGGCGUGCUUAACACAUGCAAGUCGAACGGAAAGGCCCUGCUUUUGUGGGGUGCUCGAGUGGCGAACGGGUGAGUAACACGUGAGUAACCUGCCCUUGACUUUGGGAUAACUUCAGGAAACUGGGGCUAAUACCGGAUAGGAGCUCCUGCUGCAUGGUGGGGGUUGGAAAGUUUCGGCGGUUGGGGAUGGACUCGCGGCUUAUCAGCUUGUUGGUGGGGUAGUGGCUUACCAAGGUUUUGACGGGUAGCCGGCCUGAGAGGGUGACCGGCCACAUUGGGACUGAGAUACGGCCCAGACGCCUACGGGAGGCAGCAGUGGGGAGUAUUGCACAAUGGGCGGAAGCCUGAUGCAGCAACGCCGCGUGCGGGAUGACGGCCUUCGGGUUGUAAACCGCUUUCGCCUGUGACGAAGCGUGAGUGACGGUAAUGGGUAAAGAAGCACCGGCUAACUACGUG